rnacentral:rRNA from 1 species
CGAACGGACGAGAAGCUUGCUUCUCUGAUGUUAGCGGCGGACGGGUGAGUAACACGUGGAUAACCUACCUAUAAGACUGGGAUAACUUCGGGAAACCGGAGCUAAUACCGGAUAAUAUUUUGAACCGCAUGGUUCAAAAGUGAAAGACGGUCUUGCUGUCACUUAUAGAUGGAUCCGCGCUGCAUUAGCUAGUUGGUAAGGUAACGGCUUACCAAGGCAACGAUGCAUAGCCGACCUGAGAGGGUGAUCGGCCACACUGGAACUGAGACACGGUCCAGACUCCUACGGGAGGCAGCAGUAGGGAAUCUUCCGCAAUGGGCGAAAGCCUGACGGAGCAACGCCGCGUGAGUGAUAAAGGUCUUCGGAUCGUAAAACUCUGUUAUUAGGGAAGAACAUAUGUGUAAGUAACUGUGCACAUCUUGACGGUACCUAAUCAGAAAGCCACGGCUAACUACGUGCCAGCAGCCGCGGUAAUACGUAGGUGGCAAGCGUUAUCCGGAAUUAUUGGGCGUAAAGCGCGCGUAGGCGGUUUUUUAAGUCUGAUGUGAAAGCCCACGGCUCAACCGUGGAGGGUCAUUGGAAACUGGAAAACUUGAGUGCAGAAGAGGAAAGUGGAAUUCCAUGUGUAGCGGUGAAAUGCGUAGAUAUAUGGAGGAACACCAGUGGCGAAGGCGGCUCUCUGGU